UGGUGCAAUUAGGCACACUAUUUAAAAAUAAAAAUAAAAUCAGAAGGCGGGACUAGACAAUUUUCGAAAAUUUCCCAAAAUUUGAAAUCUUUCAAAUUUCGCACUACUGAAAAAUAGACGCGAGGAGUUAGUCAAAAAGUUAAAAUUAAGCGGUUCCAUCCACUCCCGCUGCUCUCCCUCUCCCUUGCUGCAAAUAGAUAGACCGCCAGCCUCCUUCCGGUGGAAAUCGAAACCGUCGUCAAAAUCAAAGCCCUCAAAAAGGUUUUUUUUCUUCCCUUUUUGAUUGUCAUUUUAAUUCAUGUUUCUGAUGCAUAAAUCCAUCAGUUUUCCCUGUAAUGCUUUUUCGGAACCCCCAGCAGAGGAAAUGCUCUUACUUUCAUCUCUCUCCGAUCUUUAGGUGGUUGGUGGUUCAAAUUCACGAGGGUUUAAAUUUCAAUUAUCAACUAUUACAUUUAUAAAGUGUGCAUUGGUUUGUUGGAGAUGUUUGUCCUCUUGAAGAAAUGAGUGCAGAGGAAACGAAUAUUAUUAGAGGACCAAAUUUGGAACUAGGAUUUAAGUUUUGUUUGAGUGUGAGACAAUGUCUGUACAUGUUUUUGGUACAUUCUAGCAUAACUCAGUGGUUUGGUAUUUCUUACUGUAACUACUCAUUUUGUCGUUAGUUUUAGUGUAAUAUUUGAAUAUGUGAACUUUUAUGAAGUAAAUGUGCAGUUUUCUAUAUAAAUAUCUUUAUAUUUAA